UACGAAGGGGGCUAGCGUUGCUCGGAAUCACUGGGCGUAAAGGGUGCGUAGGCGGCGCGGUAAGUCGGGUGUGAAAUCUCGGAGCUUAACUCCGAAACUGCAUUCGAUACUGCCGUGCUUGAGGACUGGAGAGGAGACUGGAAUUCACGGUGUAGCAGUGAAAUGCGUAGAUAUCGUGAGGAAGACCAGUGGCGAAGGCGGGUCUCUGGACAGUUCCUGACACUGAGGCACGAAGGCCAGGGGAGCAAACGGG
rnacentral:rRNA from 1 species